UACGGAGGGUGCGCGCGUUACCCGGAUUUACUGGGUGUAAAGGGCGUGUAGGCGGUCUCUCAAGUCCGAUGCUAAAGACCGAGGCUCAACCUCGGGAGUGCGUUGGAUACUGAGAGGCUAGACGGUCGGAGAGGGCAGCGGAAUUCUCGGAGUAGCGGUGAAAUGCGCAGAUACCGAGAGGAACGCCAAUAGCGAAGGCAGCUGCCAGGACGAUUUGUGACGCUGAGGCGCGAAAGCGCGGGGAGCAAACCGG
rnacentral:rRNA from 1 species